AAGUCACAAAAAUAGCACUUAAUUUUUUAUCAAAAGUCACAAACUUAGGGUUUAGAGUUAAAGGGUGGGGUUUAGGAUUUAGGGUUUAGGGUUUAGGGUUUAGAGUUUAGGGUUUAGGGUUUAGGGUUUAGUGUUUAGGGUUUAGGGUUUAGGGUUUAGAGUUUAAGGUUUAGGGUUUAAAGUUUAGGGUUUAGGGUUUAAAGUUGAGAAAUGAGGUUUUGGGGAUAAAAUUUCAAAUUUUGAAAAAUAAAAAAUUAAAAUUUUCAAAUGAUAAACUUAGAAAGGUGAUAUUUUGGUCAUUUUAGUUUUUGAGUGCUAUUUUUGUGAUAUAAACUUAGAAAUGUGUUAUUUUGGAGAUUUGCCCUUAU
rnacentral:lncRNA from 1 species